AUCCAACUGACGAGUCCUAAAAUGAAGACGAAACGUGAGUCCCGGAU
rnacentral:hammerhead_ribozyme from 1 species